CUCUCUCUCUCUCUCUCUCUCUCUCCCUCUCUCUCUGCCCCUCCAUGGUUUGCUCUCUCUCUUUCUCUCUCUUUCUCAGAAAAUAAACAAAUAAACAUUAAACAAACAAAACUGGGGGCUCCCAAACCACCUUCACUUUUGAUAAUUCUCUGGAAGGCCUCCCAGAACUCACAGAGGCACUCCCGGUGGCUGUGGUUCCUGAUGAAGCCAGCUAAGGGAAGAAGUGCAGAGGGCAAAGUGUGGGGGCCUCCACACGCAAAGCUGCUGUCGCCUCCCAUGCAGUCAGGGCGUGUGACACACCCAGCCUGGGUGUGUGAGGAUUGCCAACCAGGGAAGCUUGUCUGCUGUUCAGUGUUUAUUGGAGCUUCCAGUAUGUAGGCGUGACUGAUUGCUUGAUUGCCCUUGUGGCUGAAGUCAGUCUUCAGGUCAACUUGACGAUGCAUGAUGGGAUCUCCCGGCUACAUCACCUGGAUGGGUCUUUCUGGCACGACCAGCCUCCACCUUAGAGUACAGAUUGGCCUGCCCUCGUCUAAACAAAGACGCUUUUAUCAGGUGCGGCAUAGAUUACCUCCCAGAAGGCAAAGACAAAGGCCAGACGUCCUCUUCAGGCAAGCCCAAAUUCUUUACUGCACCACCUGGCCUUUAUCCAAAGCUCUCCUGCAGCAAAGUAAACAUAUGCCCUAACGUUUGGAGGUGGCAGCGUGGAGUAGGAGGCUCUUAACUCAGUUUUCAGACUAUCAAUAUCGGCGGUGCAAUCUUCCCGGUGACAUGGUACCAACGUUACACCACAUCACAGUGUGAGGAAUGGACGUAACCUGAAGGACUAUCUCCUGUUGGAAGAAACGCGCGCGAAGUUCAGCCUUGUGAUACGCUGUUCCAGAUUGCCUGCACUGACACUACUUGAGGAAAUGCACCCCCCUCAGUCCAUUCCCCUUCAUACAAGAGCUACACAGUCAUACUAGCGUUCUCCCUCACCUCUUCUCCAGACCCCCCAGAAAAGCAGAGAAAUCUACUGAGUAAGCAACACCCUCAUGAAGAUACGUAAGUCAGCCCUUCAUGCCUUAUCUCUCCCUCCCCCAUUUUAUUUUUUCUCCGUCCCCCGUUUUAGACAACCAAUGUUCCAAUUGCCUGUUCCAAUUCUCGGUUAUACCUUUACUCAAGAUAUGCAACCUGACUCGUCCAUUUGAUGUGAUAUCUGUUCAUUGUUGGACACUCUGGGCUAUGAAGUGUGUUCUUCGGUCUGAAGAAAUGGGACUUGGUGGUCCAAACUGGUGUAAUAGCUUCUGGUCCAGUCUUUUUAUAGUAUGUUGAACAUUUGCAUCUACCUCUAGGCAUGGAAAACCCGCUCCAGAGUGUGUCUAUUCCUCCCAAAACCCAUUUGUAACCUUCCAGGGCUCCCAGCAUCAGUCCAGCCGCCAGCUCUGCAUCGGGCCUUUCCCCCAGGGAAUCUGCCCCACAGCCAUCUGUAGCCUCCAUCAUUUUUGCUGGCCCACAACAAAGUUCUUCUUGGCAUUUUGUGCUCCAGAGGGUUUGAGAGGGCGAUGUCUAGAUUUGUCCCAUCUCUGCACUGCUGAACCCCCCAUAUCCACUCAUUCCGUGGGCCCAGGGGGCUACCUCAAGUGAGCACACCAGGGUAUCCACUUGCUGGUUCCAGUCCCCUCCCAGUCCUACAAGGAGGUUCUUCUGAUGGACAGUGACAUGCCCCACUUUAAUGUACCCCUGAAUGCCCAUAGUCAUUUCCACAGGGCAGUGCCCCCCAACAGGCAUCCCUUUAAUAGGCAAAUUUUCCAUUGUUCUUCUACUUAACCACAUGGUCAAGACAUUAGCUGUUGCCCAUGAGUUGGUUCAAAACCCUAACAUAGAGGGGCUCCUGGGUGGCUCAGUCGGUUGAGGGUCCGACUUCGGCCCAGGUCAUGAUCUCGCUGUUUGUGAGUUCCAGCCCCGCGUCAGGCUCUGUGCUGACAGCUGGGAGCCUGGAGCCUGCUUCGGAUUCUGUGCCUCCCUGUCUCUCUGCUCCUCCCCUGUUCAUGCUCUGUCUGUCUCUCUCUCUCAAAAAUAAACAUAAAAAAAAAAAAAAAAAACCCUAACAUAGGGAUCACAUCAUGGAAUUCAGCCACUGAACUCAUUUGUUUUUAUCUUCAUUUGGCAGCCUUCCAAACACCAUGCUAUCCAUUCACCUUGAAACUGACAUCUGUAAACCAAGCAGCUCUUUUUUGGUUAAUAGACAGCACUGCCCAAGCGGCUAUAGGGCCAGCAAUUUCUCGCAUGAUUCCUGAGUCGGCCUUAGGGGAAAUAAUUCUAGCUGCUUAUGAACAUAUGUGUAUCCCCUUGCAUACCCUGGUUCCACGUUCCUGCAAAACCAGCCCCGUUUUUCCAUGGCACUCUUCUGGGCAUUGCCUUCUCCAUUAGAGUGUUUCUCCAAGGUCACCUAAGACAUUAUGUGUAUUUCAGGUUUCAAGAUUGUUUUAUGUUCUUCAGUCACCGGGGCCAUUAGCAAGGUAGUCCAAUACCAAAGGUAGUAAUUGCCUCUGAAAUGGAAAUCUUCUGUCCAGACUCUCGGCAGUCAUUAAGAGGUGGUGCUCACAGCCUCUUGCUGUGAGCCCCAGUCUGGGUAAGGAUUCCAAGACUGCUUCCAAGUGGUUGGAGGGGUAAGAUCUUAGGAAGAUUUCCAGAUGUGGAAUACGCACCCUGCAAAAUCCAAAUAAACCAGGUCUUGUAACAUGUUUUGUCUAGCAGGUAUCCCAUACUGUUUAAAAUCAACAACCUGUGUGGGCUUGGGCAAGGUUCUUGGUUCCCAGUUAGGAUGCUCAGCCAACAUUGCGUGAAAGGACAGGUUUACCUGCCCUCUGUUUUAUAGCACUAGGUAGAGGAAACUUUCCCCAGUCAGACACAAAAUCCAUCCCUCUAGUACUUUCACAUAAAGGAGAUGUAAGCACUUUACAGAGUCUGUUCAAACAUUCUCUCUAGAGAGAGACAAACAGUGCACAAGAAGGGGAGAGGAGAGAGACGGAGACAGAAUCCGAAGCAGGCUCCAAGCUCUGAGCUGUCAGCACAGAGCUCCACGUGGGGCUCGAACUCACGAGCCAUGACUCACAAGCCAUGAAAUCCUGACCGGAGCCAAAGUCGGACACUUAAGGGUGAGCCACCUGGGCGCUCCAAAGAAAACACUGGAUUUUAAGAAGAAUGAAGACGUUGGUCAGUCAGGCAAAAAAAAAAAAAAAAUCAGGUCAUUAAUUUAUAAAAGAAAUCAAGCUAGUUUCAAAUUUCUCCAUGGUAACAUUCAUCAUGAGGGAACAAUGACAUCUGUAAGAUCCUCAAGGAAAGAAUGUUGAGCCAAGGUUUUGUAGCGAGCUAAUCUGUAUUUCACCCAUUGAACGUGUAAUAAUUAAGGAAAUGUUUUUCCUAUGAGUGUUCCUUGAGGAAAGUGUUAAGGCAAUGAGCCCACUCGGGCUGCUCUAAAACAAUACCACAGACUGGGUGGCUUACAAACAGCAGAGAUUUAUUUCUUACAGUUCUGGAGGCUGGGAAGUCCAAAAUCAAGGUGCUGGCAGAUGUGGUGUUUGGUAAGGGCUCACUUCCUAGUUCAUACUGUCCUCACAUGGUGGAAGGGGAAGGGAGCUCUCUGGGUCUCUUUUAGAAGAGCACUAAUCCCAUUCGUGAGACCAAAAUCACCUCUCAAAGGCCCACCUCCAAAUGCCAUCCUGUUGGGCAUUAGGAUUUAACAUAAGAAUUUCGGGGAACACAAAUAUUCAAUACGUAGCCAGCCAGAAAGAUGACUGGAAAAAUAUAGCACUGCCUUUGGAGACUUUGAGAAAUGGAUAUAUUUAACAGUAGAACAAAGACUAAAACAAACGUCGGGGCUAGAAUGCUUUGUAAUUGAUAUAUACCUUAACAGUGUGAAAUAAUAAUAAAAGAUAUGCAUUUUAGAAGGGGAAGGAGGAAAACGUGGAAGGUAGGCGUGACUUUAUAAAUUACAUCAUUUGUAACUGAAAUCCAAAGGUAUCAUUUCAAUCUGACACAUCAAGUAAUAGAAGUGUAGACAUUUAGGGGCACCUGGGUGGCCCAGUCGGUUGAGUGUCUGACCUGGCUUCCGCUUAGGUCAUGAUCUCACAAUUUCGAGCCCCAUGUUGGGCUCUGUGCUGACAGUUGUGAGCCUGCUUGGGAUUCUCCCUCUCCCUCUCUCCCUGCCCCACUCGCGCGGUCUCUGAAUCUCUCAAAAUAAAUAAAUAAACUUAAAAGAGCAGUAUAAACAUUUAACGCCAUCAAGGUAAACAUGAAGAAUUAUUGACUCAAAUCAGGUGAGUGGGGAAGAAAGAGGAAGUAUGUACAUUUUAUCAUUGUUUAUGGUAAAGGACUAAGAUAUUAUCAAAGGAAGUAGAGGGAUAUGGGGCCAAAUGAGGUGUAAUUACAGAGGCAAACAAAACAGUACAAACUUUCCUAAUGACAGACCUGAAAAAAGGAAGAGGGAAAAUAACACUCUUGAGUGAUGACACGAUUGCGUUCUUUUCUGCUUCCACCGCCCUUGCUGCUUCUGGGGCCCCGGGGUAUUCUGGGGCAUUCUGUGUUAGGCAGGGCUGGCUGGCACCUACCGGGUGGCCCUGCCCUUUCCACUCUCAGCUGAGAUCAGGGCUUUCAGUGCUUCUCAAACAGUGUGGAAUGUCCCGUUUCCUUUCAUCGUUCCUUUCUGCGGCAAACCAAUCAGAAAAAUGGAAGGAGAACUAAUGAAAACAAACACACGCAAAAUACAAGCUUUAAUGAUUUGCUAUUAGAGUCAACAGGCUUAAAAACAGUAAAUAUAAGCUGAACAAACAUAAUUUCGAGAAAAAGAAUGACGAAACUGCUAGGUUCUUUGUUAAAAGUAUGCAUAAAAGUGAUUCAUGUAGAGGAUUAUUUUUUGUAGUGAGCUAGAUUUUCCAAAGAUGGCUGCCACAACAUCUCCAAUCCAGUAUGUUCUUUUCUAAUGUGACACUUAUUCCAUUGAGUGGUGGGGUCUAUAGCCCCUCCCCUUGAGCCUGGGUUGGCCUUUGGACUGCUUUGACCCAUCAACUGUGGCAGAAAUGACACUGGAGGACUUAGGAAAGCAGGCUCCAAAAGCCCAGGUAGCUCCUCCCUGGUUUUCUUGGGACAUGAAACCCGACAACUGAUCCAUGAAGCUCUGAGUAAGCUCAAGAAGUCUGUGGCGAUGUCCUUGUAGAGAACAUAGUCCCGGUUGAGUUCCCACCCAAUCGCUAACACAGACUUGCCAGCCAAGUGAGUGAGUCAUUUCAAAAGUUCACCCUCCAUCCCCCAGUGAUGCCUCAUGGAGCAGAGAUGAGCCAUCCAUGCUGAGCCCUGCCCGGAUUGUAGAUUUUGACUUUUUUUUUUUUUUUUUUUUGGCCAGUUCUUGCCCCCCAAACUCCUCUUGUUGGCUUCUGGAGAACUCUACUUCUAACAACAAAUGUCACCCAACCCUUAUUCUGACAACUUUCCUUCUUACCUAUUUUAAAUGCUUAUUUAUUUAUUUUGAGGGUGGGGACAGCACAGGGGGGAAAGAGAGAGAGAGAGAGAGAGAGAGAGAGAGAGAGAGAGAUUCCCAAGCAGGCUCGUGCUGGGCCCAAUCCCACAACCUUGAGAUCAUGACCUGAGCUGAAAUCAGGAGUCAGACUCUCAACCGACUAAGCUACCCAGGUGCCCCUUAGGUAUUAUAAAAUGUAAUUUGUACUUUCCUCAAAUUCUAGCGUUUGAAUUAUACAAAAAGUAACAUAAACCUGGUUAGAAUUUAGACCCAACUCCAAAAAUCUUACUUUUGGUAUGAGUCAUUUAGGAAAUUCCAAAUGCUGACUCUUUGUCAUUACGGGUAGUACUAAAUGGCCCUUUUCUGCACAUCAGCAGGAGCUCUUUUCUCAAAAUCUGUAGCAUGAAAUAUGUGUGGCUAUUAAUCUGAUAGGUUUAGCAAGGUAAAGCCCUACAUCUGACAUUAAUUCUGGCAACUUCAACCGUACUUCCAGUCUCUGAACACGGCAGGACAAGAUAAGGGUGAAGAAAUGUGGGCACUUGACUCAGGCACAAAGUUUGAUGGGAUGCCAAAAUAAUCAGUAAUCAAGAUAAACAAUGUUUUAAGACGAUAUUACAAAAACAACAAAAUUAAUGCAAAAAAAUCCAUGGUGAAAACAUAUCAAAAUCGUAAAGAUCAUCUCGACAUAACUGACCGAAUGAGUCAUAGAAGUCUGUAACGGGGUUACAUUCCUACAGUCACCACCCCAAAGCAGGUUAUCACCUCAUUCUUGGUCUUUAAAAAUUGUUGAUUCCAACAUUUUUUUCUGAUUUGAAAAAUUAUAAAUAGACUUCACAUUUUCGUUCUUUAAAAAAAUCUAGACAAAACCCAAAUAAUAAGUGUUGGUGAUGAUGUGGAGAAAUUGGAGCCAUCAUGCAUUGGCGGCAGGAAUGCAAAAUGGCGCAGCCACUGUGGUGGUUUCUCAAAAAGUUAAACACAGAAUCACCAUAUGACCCAGCAACUCCACUCCUAGGUUUAUACCCAAAAGAGACUCAAACAGAUCCUUGAACACCCGUGACCUUAACAGCAUUACUCACAAUAGCCAAAGGUGGAAACAACUUAAAAUGUUCAUUAACAGAUAAAUGGAUAAGCAAAAUGUGGCAUAUACAUACACACAAUGGACUAUUAUUCAGAUUGAAAAAAUGAAGUUCCGAUAUGUGCCGCAACAUGGAUGAACCUUGAAGAUACUAUCUCAAGUGAAAUAAGCCACAUACAAAAGGACAAAUACUGAAUGAGUCCAUUUAUAUGAGGUACUUAGAAUAGGCCAAUUUCACAGAGGAAGAAAGCAGAAUAGUGGUCACCAGGGACUGGAGAGGGGGGUUGGGAAGUUAUUAUUUAAUAGAGAGUUUCAGUUCAGGUUGAUGAAAAUUCUGGAAAUGGAAAGUGGCGAUGAUUCUACAACACUGUGAAUAUACUUAAUGCUACAGAAUUGUACACUUAAAAAUAGAAAAAAGUGGUGCAUUUUAUGUCAUGUAUCUUUUGCAGUAAAAAUAACAAAUGCUCACUUCAUAAAGUUAAAAAAAAUAAGAAAAUAAAGAAUACAUUUUAAAUUAGUUCUAAUGCUAGUACUCAGAGAAGUAGCUGAUUUGGCUCCAGACUUUUCUCACAUCUUGGGAUGACCUCACAAUAUGUGGCGACCUUAUUAAGACGUUAAUUUUUCCUCUCUGGAUUUUCCCUUUCCUUGCAUUGUGUAGACAGGCAAAAACAUAAUGGCUGGCCAAACAUUUUCCUUUCUGCUGGCUCCCUCUAACAAAUCCUAAUCUGUCAUGUCACCAAAGAGAUUAAGCUAAAGACUUUGAGAGCAACCGGAAAAAAGAGAGAUUUUGUCGGCCCCUGGAAGGACUGGGGACAGAAUUUCUCACCUCACAAGGUCUGAAGGUUGGAGCCGCCCACACCCACCAGCGGCCAAACCUGGGAUAGGAUGACUCUGAGGUUUCCAGCCUCUGCAAAGAUUCCUCUGCGUGGAAGGGAAGAGCUGAGGACGUCUGCGGACUUAAGCAAUAAGAAUGCCCGUACUAGACUUGGUGCACGAGAGAUACAUCUCCCGUCUGAGCACUGGGAGAGCCUCUUGGACCUUAAUGCAACCCUUUGGCGAAGAGGCCUAAUAAAGACUUCACAGUGGUUUCCCUGACAGCACAGCAGAUUUGGAUUUGGUUUAGUGGUGAUGUAGAAGUAUGGUCUUCUCUGCCUACUGGAAUCUGUGGGCCGAGAUGUAGACUUGGCAUACGUUGAGUGCCCAUACUUUCAACAUCCCCGAAGUAAUAGAAAAAUGUCGGUGUUUCCUCUACUUUGUAAUCAAACCUCUACCAGAAGGAAUCCAUGAGGACUGAUGUUCUCUUUUAGUGGAAAGCGGUGUGUGUGUGUGUGUGUGUGUGUAUUAUCACCUUGGAGAUGAGCGGCUGUUGAUAGCAGCCCGCUGUUCUGACCGGCCAGUGCCAUGCCGCAAACCACCCUGUUCACUCUCGUGUGGCCGCUAGCUGUUUCCUCUAUUUUCAGUUUUAAUGUUUUAAUUGAAUCAUCUAGAGCUCUUUGGUGUGAUGAUACUUUUUCUUGUCAUCACUUAUUCUUUAAUAUGGAGCUUUCAAAGGUUUCUAUAAAAUUGUCAGUGGAAUUAUUUAUGGCCUAAGACAUCCUAUGUUGCAUUUAAGAAUCCAAAAGCCUCGGGAUGCCUGGGUGGCUCAGUCGGUCAAGCGUCUCUUGGUUUCAGCUUAGGUCAUGAUCUUGAGGCUUUGUGGGUUCGAGUCUCACAUUGGGCUCUGUGCUGGCAGUGUGUGGGGCCUGCUUAGGAUUCUCUCUCUCUCUCCCUCUCCCUCUCUCUCUCUCCUCUUUCUUCCCCUUCCCCACUUGCACUGUCUCUGUCUCUCUCGAGAUAAAUAAACUUAAAAAAAUACAAAAGCAUUUUGAUAUUACAACAUUUUGUUUUGUUUAAUGGCAUCGACUUUUUGGAGACCAGGCCAGUUGUCUAGUAGAUGCCCUACAUUCUCUUUUGACUGGUUCUUCCUGAUGUUAUUUAUUUCUCUCUCCCUCGAAUUUCCUAUAACCCAGCAGUUAGGUCUGUGGCUUGUUUAGAUUCAGAUUACACAGUUUUGGUAGGAACACUUCGUAACUGUAUUUUGUAUUGCAUCCUCCCCAGCAGCACGUGCCGGUUUUUCCCCUAUAAGGAUACUCAACUUAAUCUGCUUUCUUGGGUAGGGUGGUAACAACCAUAUCUCUCCAUUGUAAAGAUCAUGUUGCCCUUUGCAAUCGGCAGAUAAUCUGGGAGUGACAUCAUGCAAUGUUAGUAAAUUGUCACCAAUAAUGCCUCCAACUUCUGUUAGCGUAUGCUGCUUCUCCUAUCAAGAGGUAGAAAUCUAGUUUUCAUCCCUUGAAUCUGGACUGGCAUUAUGUGGUGGAAGUGGUAUUUCCUUAUUUCUGGGCCCAAGCCUUAAAAGGCCCUGAAGCUUCUUUUUUUGUCCACUUGGAUUCAAGCCAUCAGAUAAACUCAGGCUGGACAACUGAAUGAUGAGAGAUCACAUAGCGGAGAGAGGCCCAGCCAGCCCACCCGGAGGCACUAGAAAUAGGAGUGAAGCCAUCUUCAAUUCCUCAGCCUGGUCAAACCACCCCAGCCAACACUAUGUGGAACAGAGGCUCCACAGAGUUCUGCUGAAUUUGCAGUCACGAGAAAAAAUAAAUGGUACUUUGAUCCGGCAUUGAUUGAUUUUGAGUGGCUUAUUAUUCAGGAAACAAAUCCCAUGUAAAUAUUCUGUUUCACGUGAUAGUUUUAGGAUCCAUUGAUGAUAGUUGCCUGGGUCAAUUAUUUCAUUGGGGCUGCCACAGGAUAGUUUAAGUUUUGUUCUCCUCUCUACAUUAUUAGCUGGCAUUCUUCUGCAGAGAGAGGGACGGUGGGAGAGAGAGAAACACACCAGCUUUCUCUCAUUAACUAGGUAUAAACUACUGUUUCUCCUAAAAAUGAAGGGUGUUUAAUCU